GGGCGGUUAGCUCAGUUGGGAGAGCAUCACGUUCGCAACGUGAGGGUCGGGGGUUCGAAUCCCCUACCGUCCACCA
rnacentral:tRNA from 2 species